UAGGUUAGGGUAAACUAUUAAGAUUUAAACUUACUCAUAUUACCUUUCUCCAUGGGGCUUGCAACCGUCACUUGUGUCUUGAGCAGUUAAAAGACAGAAUAGUCAAGUCAAGCGCCAUGUCUCGUAUUCUUGAUCAACUAAAGCUCUGGAGUUUUUGUAGAUUUUCAAAAUAAAACUCAGGGAUUCCUUGUAUGACACUCUCAAUAAUCUCUUUUGUGGUAUUUCUGGAUCAUUACCAAGGCAGUGAUGGUAUAUGCCUUCUCUCAGACUAUGUGGUAUUUGUGGUAUGAGGCAUAAUGACAUUGCCUUCUUUCUCACCCUACUCUAAUAAGGUUCUGAUAUCUGGAGCUCAUAGGUGGGAGACAGCUAAUACAUACUUACAAGACAUUUAUUGCAUAGUCAAACCAUGGAUCCAGAGAAACAAGUCAAUAAGUCAAAUCAAGAUGUGCAUGUGUGGCGAAUGAAUGUUGUAUGGUGAUGAUGGUGAUAAUGGCGAAAACAAUGGUGAAAGUCUAAUUCUACUUUUGCUCUUUUGAGGGGAUACAUACCUUUCUUGCACUUUGAAGCUUUUUAAGGGGAAUGAGAUGCUUUAUAUUUUCUUUUUUUCUUUUCUCUCAGGUUGGUAUCUUGUACCCCUAAUUCUACUGUCGGACACUUGUCCAUUUUUACCUCUCGUCUCACUUUUUCUUUUCUUCGAGGUUCCGGGCACUUGCCCCUUUUUAUUUCCUCGUAUUCACUUUUUUCAGAGCACUCACCCUCCCGAAAUAAUGUAGCAAGUGGUAGUAACCAAAAUAUCUCGAGCAUUUAUUUCACGGGGAGUAACAGGGAUAGGAUAAUGUUUUUAGCUAUUCUCUCCCAGAUAGGAGUAAAAUAAUUUUGGGUGAAUCUGGAGAUGGGAAUGAGUGGAUGUGUGUGGAUGCGUACUUCUAGAGUAGAAGCAAUAUGUAUGAGUAAACGUGCAAGUGAAUCUUGAUUUUAACCGCAUGACAAGCUCCUAAGGGUCUACACAGCUUGACCACACUUAGUGCUCAUAAGCAGUAAAAAGUAAAUGUAUGGUUCAUACUCUAACAAGUAUGUAUAUAUAGCUGUGGUAGGAUUUGAAACUCUCAUCAUACAGGAACUCAUCAUGCAACAUUUUUAAAGAUUUUCAAAGAUAAAAUUCUCCAGAACUCUAGCAUCUCUAGGAACAGAUAAACAGCAGCUCGACCUUCCCAUAUCAUAUCCGUUAACGACUUGGACUUUAGAUCAACUACUCUUCCCACAAGUUUAGGUUGAGAGUAAAUCUUAAUUCAUAACAGUCAUGCCUAAACUUGAGAGAGAUUUCAAUUUUGAGAACUAGUCAUGGCAGAGCAACUAUUCAUCAUAUCCAUGUGAGAGCUUAUCAUGAGGGCUCAUAGCAAACUUUAUUUAUUUAUUUAUUUAGUAAACUAAGCAUUGAUAUAUAUAAGCAUAAAAUCUUUAUUUGGAUUUUUAUGAUUAUGCAUCUUUUUAUUAUUUGAGUAAAGUAUAAACAUGAGUAGAAACACUUAGCUGGAUAAAUGGGGAUGCUCUCCUCCAAGCUGGAUUUUGACGUAAUUUCUUCUGAUGUGGCUAGCAGGUGGCGGAGCUGUAUUUGAAUGUCGGCAGCACCCUGACAGCGAUUAGAAUGUCCUCCGUCUGCUAGUUUUCUUUGAUCCUUGAAUUCUAUGGAGCUCAAAUAGACAAUAAAGCUUUGUGGAAUUGGUUAAGUGUUAGCAUAAAAGUCUCUUUGCCUUUAUCAUGUUGAGCUUCCUCUAAUAAAUAUUAUCUCUUUGGUAGGAUCAUAAAUUUUUUUUUAUAUUUUCAUUUCUAUAGGAUAGGAAUAUAUUUAUUUUAUUUUUACGCCACCACAGUGAAUGUACUUAUGGGUUUCAAGCCACGAGCAUACUCACAUGGGGCUUAGUAUUUUUAACAUUUUUAUUUUCUUUUUAAGAUAGCAUGAUUAACUAAUAAGCUAUUUAAGGAAAGUAAGCAAUUAAAGGGAAAAGGGAAUGCAGAAAGGAUAAAUAUGGAUAACUACCGAUUUUACCUUUCGGCGAGGGUUCAAGAUUUAAAUCUUCUAAACAAGACUUCUCACCGUGUUCAUUCUUCAGGAGCAUCAUUUGAUUCAGGUGUGGACCUUGACGUCUGCACCUCUUAAUAUGAUGUCACACAUGUUCUUCGUUUGCCUAGUAGUUUGAAGUGCGGCGUUGGCAGUAUACUGCUCAGUGUGUUUGUCCUCGUAGAUCCAGGUCCUUUACUUGGUAGAGUCCGAGAGUUAUAAAACUCCACCAUGUUUUGCUCGAAGUGUACCUGCUCAUAGAGACAAGGUAGAGAUCAAGUGCUUGGGCCCUGUUGGUGGAAAACACCAACAGAACCAAAACUGUAUUUGUUCUUCUCUAACCUUAAGCAUAGUGAGCAAGACAAAGAUGAUGGGUGACAAGUUCAUGAGUGUAGCACUUAUAACAUUUGUCAGAUCAGAUCACUCAACCUUUUGGAAAGAUAAUCUAUCUAUGUAUAUAUCUUUUUCUUUAUUCUCUCAAAGAUUGAAUGUGCAACAUUUUAGCUCAUAAGAUUAGGAGUGUGGGAUCAUGGAGGUAGUACUAGGAACAAGGAUUAAAGGACUAAACAUGCUGAAUCAGUUGGGUUGGUUAAUUUGGAAUUAUAAAUCAUACAUGUUUGUCUCUUUUAUUCAUAUGAACGCUAGAACCAAGGAGAAGCUUAUAAAAGCGAUAGUCAGAUAUCUUAAGAUGUUACCUUAAUUGAAGAGUGAUGGUACCAUCUCACCUUGUGGAAGCUUCCCAUUCGUAAUGGUUGUGUAUCGUGUUUGUGGCACCCUCCAUGGAUCAUCUCUUAUGAGCUAUGUCUUCCUUGUGUAAAUUGUUAAACUUGAUGUGUCUCUCUCUUUGUCUCCAAUGUGAGUUUAUCUUAGGACUUCCCAGGUUGAUAUUGAAAGUUUUCCUGUAGGGGUUAGUCCGACAGAAUAUAUCAAUAUCUACUCAAGUAGAUUUUAGUUCAGUAACCAAACUAGACUCCAUGUCUAAUCAGAUUAAGGAUGGCUAUUUAACCUAAGCACCAUGCUUAAUUUAAAUGCCAAUGGAAGUAUGUCGAGUACUUCCAAACCAACACUUGCUAGUUAAUAGACAAAGGUAGCAUGACAACAUUUAUAGAGAUCUACUCAAGUGGAGAUAAAGUAGUGUGAUUAGAAUUUAACAAAUUGAGCAUGUCUCAAAGGUAGGGACAACG
rnacentral:lncRNA from 1 species